rnacentral:lncRNA from 10 species
UCUUCCUUUAUUUUUCUGUAUUAAUGAAGUUUUUUACACUGAGCACAUCCAGAAAACAAAGUUAUCAGAGUUAUUUUUUCUGGGUUGUUUGAAAGUUUUUACAAUGAACAUGAAUUAUAUAAUUAGAAAAGAAUAAAGCUAUUGUCACUGAGAAUAAACUAAAACCAAGAAAAUCAAUUAAACCUUCAGGUUGGUUCAUACAUUCUUUUAUACCUAUUAUGUACCAGGCAGUGUGCUGGAGAUGACAAAGAUACAGGCUCCCAUCUCUAGACAUUCAUGCUAAUAGGUAAUUGUCCUAAGUUCUAUGAGUGUAUAUGUGGUGCUGUAUGAGCACAGAAGAAAGAAUUUUUGCCUGGGUUUAUGGAGGGCAGGGGACAGGAAUGAGGUCUCUGAAUCAGUGGCACUGGAGAGGGUUUUGAAGGCAGAGAGGUAAGGACAUGGAAUAUAGGCAAGGACUUGGGUCUCAUCAUGGAACAGUGAGAGAGGCAGGGUCUCCAGGGAUUCCUGAACGUAAUCCCAUGAAGUUCUGGAAUCACCGAGGUCUGAGAACCAGAUGCAGCCCACAGACCUGUUUUGUCUGACCUGCAUUGUUUUACAGCUUGGACCAUGUCUCAUAAAACUCCAGAUUCCUGGCUUCUUAAACAUCUGGCAAUACUGUCCCAAUUCCUUCCAGGCCAUGAGCAGCUGGGACUGAGAGGCAACCACGCCCUCGGACCCAUCCCCCACUUCACUCCCUUAUCUUAUGUCUGACUCUAUAGGCAUUCAGUUAAUGAUUCCUGACCUCCCCCAGCCCACCACCCUUGUACAGAUAAGGAAAUUGAAACCCAGGGAGAUACGCAUCUCGUUCAAUGGCACCACUGCAUUGUGACUGAGCCAGGAGUCUUUACCCCAAACCAAGCCAGACUCAAAGCCGCUGCUUCUUCCUUUAUGUGGUCCCAGUUAAACUCCUGGCCUUGGCUCUCUGGGUAAAGAGAAAACAUAAUCCUAACCAUCUUCAUGACUGAUUGGCAAUAUUUUCACUGUGACUUUUCCUCCAGAGACAUGUAAAGAUAUCACCGUGAGUUUGUAAGAUAAUCUUUCCUUUAGAGUUCUGCUGUUCCUUGUCAUUUUGCCCGUGAGGAUGGCCUGUUGGCCGCACGGGGACGACAGUCAAGAGAGAACCGUGACCUUGUUUGCAUUGCGUUGCUGAUACACACGAGUCUUUGAAACAGGCCAUCCAUGAGCCUCACAACCUCCUGGCAUAGCAGGUAUUAAUUACUGUUCACCACUUAUUGGAGGAGGAAACGGACGUUCCAAGAUAUUAAAUGGCUUGUUCAAGGUCACACAGCUCAUGAACGACUGGUUCCAAAGCUCCCUGCCCUCUCCACCGCGCCUGGCCGCUCAGAGCCCAUGAUGAAGUGAUUUGGGUAGAGCGAGGUCAGGCCACAUCUGUUAACCAAGUAGCCAGUCCUGGGCUUAAAAAUUAUUUGUUUCCAACUCUUUUUCUCUUUUCCGUCCCCGUAUUGACAGGAACAGCUGUCUUCUUUUUAAAAGGGCUACUUCCAUCUCUUUCAUUUUAUUGUUUCCACGUCUUUGAUUGUUUUGGAACAAGUCCGAUGGUGGAGACGGAACAGGGAGAUCACGAAGACAGCCUCUCCUUUAAAAAAUGACCAUGAUCUCACGCCUCCUCCCAACCCAGUGGAAACUGGAGCACCGCUCAAGGAGACGCUGCUGUCACAGGAUCCUGCUUACGGGCACGAAAGCUGGGAAAUUUCAGAGCCAAUCUGGGCCAGGGGAGGCUGGAGCUCGUGAGCUGGGCUGGAAAUGAUUCUUCCAGACUGCAGAGAAGACAGUGGCCUGCCCGCCGGCCGGCCUGCCUGCCCUCCCCGAGGCCAACAGGAAAUCCCAGAAUUUAUAGAUGACCCCGUUACAAGGAGAGCCAGAGCUGGCUGGCAGAAAAGGCAAGUCAGAUGGCAUCACCAUCCAAGGCCAGGUCUCCACUCCCUGAAAACCAAGUAUGCCAGCUUUGAACAACCAUGUCAACCCAAUGAGCCUUGAUUUCUUCAGUACCCUCUGUAGCCAAUUUGCUAGGUGGUAUGGAAAAUGGAUAUGCGUGUGCCUGGCCCAUGGAAGGGGCUUAAUCAACGUCUGCAUCCUUUCUCUCCUAUUUGGAAUAUUCCUUAUUGGGAAGGAAUAGCUUGGAGGGUCUUAGAGGUGAAGGCCAGACCUCAGAAAACUGGUAUAUUUAUCUCCUUAUAAGAAUGUAAGCUUCAGCACUUUGGGAGGCCAAGGCGGGCAGAUCAUCUGAGGUCAGGAGUUUGAGACCAGCCUGGCCAACAUGGAAAAACUCCAUCUCUACUAAAAAUACAAAAAUUAGCCAGGCAUGGUGGUGCACACCUGUAAUCCCAGCUACUCGGGAGGCUGAGGCAGGAGAAUCGCUUGAACCAGGAGGUGGAGAUGGUAGUGAGCCGUGUACCACUGCACUCUAGCCUGGUCAACAGAGCAAGAUUCUCUGUCUCAAAAAAAAGAGUAAGCUUCAAGAGGGUAGGCCACCCCAGUGCAGAUAACAAGCCUCAGCAAAGCAGUAAAGGAGCACAGGCUUGAAGUCCUUACACCCCAGCACCCGCUCAGGAGCUAAGUGACCUUGGGCAAGCUCAGUGUCCUUACUUGUGUCUGGGGAUAGUAAUAGUAAUCAUACCUCAAAGGGUGGCUGUCGCGCAUUGAAAUGAGAGAGGGCACGUAAAUAAUUUAGCAAUGGGACUUGUAGGUAGAAAGUGUAGGAUUGUAGAGACAACUCUAGCUAUAAUCAUUAUUAUGAGAUGACCACAGUGUCUGACAUAUAAGCAUUUAAUGAAUAUCUGAAAAACAAAUGAAUGAAAACCUCAUAGAAAAUAGGUCAGAAGACUUUGCUUAGUUCCAUUUCAGCCACCAACUUGCUAUGAGACAUGAAAUACCCCUGUG